rnacentral:rRNA from 1 species
GAUGAACGCUGGCGGCGUGCCUAAUACAUGCAAGUCGAGCGAACAGACGAGGAGCUUGCUCCUCUGACGUUAGCGGCGGACGGGUGAGUAACACGUGGAUAACCUACCUAUAAGACUGGGAUAACUUCGGGAAACCGGAGCUAAUACCGGAUAACAUUUUGAACCGCAUGGUUCAACAGUGAAAGACGGUUUUGCUGUCACUUAUAGAUGGAUCCGCGUCGCAUUAGCUAGUUGGUAAGGUAACGGCUUACCAAGGCAACGAUGCGUAGCCGACCUGAGAGGGUGAUCGGCCACACUGGAACUGAGACACGGUCCAGACUCCUACGGGAGGUAGCAGUAGGGAAUCUUCCGCAAUGGGCGAAAGCCUGACGGAGCAACGCCGCGUGAGUGAAGAAGGUCUUCGGAUCGUAAAACUCUGUUAUUAGGGAAGAACAAAUGUGUAAGUAACUAUGCACGUCUUGACGGUACCUAAUCAGAAAGCCACGGCUAACUACGUG